rnacentral:rRNA from 1 species
GAGUUUGAUCCUGGCUCAGAUUGAACGCUGGCGGCAGGCCUAACACAUGCAAGUCGAGCGGUAGAGAGAAGCUUGCUUCUCUUGAGAGCGGCGGACGGGUGAGUAAUGCCUAGGAAUCUGCCUGGUAGUGGGGGAUAACGCUCGGAAACGGACGCUAAUACCGCAUACGUCCUACGGGAGAAAGCAGGGGACCUUCGGGCCUUGCGCUAUCAGAUGAGCCUAGGUCGGAUUAGCUAGUUGGUGAGGUAAUGGCUCACCAAGGCGACGAUCCGUAACUGGUCUGAGAGGAUGAUCAGUCACACUGGAACUGAGACACGGUCCAGACUCCUACGGGAGGCAGCAGUGGGGAAUAUUGGACAAUGGGCGAAAGCCUGAUCCAGCCAUGCCGCGUGUGUGAAGAAGGUCUUCGGAUUGUAAAGCACUUUAAGUUGGGAGGAAGGGCAGUAAAUUAAUACUUUGCUGUUUUGACGUUACGACAGAAUAAGCACCGGCUAACUCUGUGCCAGCA